GCUUGUCUUUCCACACUAUUUAGGGAAGCUAAGACAGGAGGAUUGCUUGAGUCUAGGAGUUCUGGGCUAUAGUGCGCUAUGCUGAUUGGGUGUCUGCACUAAGUUUGGCAUCAAUAUGGUGAUCCACCAGGAGCGUGGGCCACCAGGUUGCCUAAGGAGGGGUGAACUGGCCCAGGUCAGAAACAGAGCAGGUCAAAAUGCCCAUGCUAAUCAGUAGUGGGAUUGCGCCUGUGAAUAGCACUGCACUCCAGUCUGGGCAACAUAGCAAGACCCCAUCUCUA
rfam:Otolemur garnettii contig011220, whole genome shotgun sequence.